GGCGAAAACAAUUGUGGGGAACGAAAGGUAAGGUGGAUGUACAAGCAUCUUCUGGGAUGAAUCUCUUUGACCCGUUUCUUCAAGUUGCUUAUACAUUCUCCUUCCCAUUCGUGGCUAUCCGCACGGUCCGUCCC